rnacentral:rRNA from 1 species
AACGCCUGCCCAGUGAAAAAUUAAACGGCCGCGGUAUCCUAACCGUGCAAAGGUAGCAUAAUCAUUUGUCUACUAAUUAUAGACCUGUAUGAAAGGCAAAAUGAGGGCCUAACUGUCUCUUAUAAUCAAUCAAUUAAACUGAUCUCCUAGUAAAAAAGCUAGAAUACUAACAUAAGACCAGAAGACCCUGUGAAGCUUAAACUAAAAUAUUAAUCCAAAUAAUAACUACUUUCGGUUGGGGCGACCUUGGAAAAAAAAAGAACUUCCAAACUUAAACACACAACUUUAGGCCUACAAGCCAACUAACGACCCAGCAUAGCUGACAAUUGAACCAAGUUACUCCAGGGAUAACAGCGCAAUCUUCUUCAAGAGUCCAUAUCAAAAAGAAGGUUUACGACCUCGAUGUUGGAUCAGGACAUCCUAAUGGUGCAGCCGCUAUUAAGGGUUCGUUUGUUCAACGAUUAAUAGUCCUACGUGAUCUGAGUUAGAACCGGAAGUUCAGACCGGAGAACKAUCCUUAAUAGCGGCUGCMCCAUUAGGAUGUCCUGAUCCA